rnacentral:rRNA from 1 species
CCAACGGGAGGCAGCAGUGGGGAAUAUUGGACAAUGGGCGGAAGCCUGAUCCAGCAAUGCCGCGUGAGUGAUGAAGGCCUUAGGGUUGUAAAGCUCUUUUACUAGGGAUGAUAAUGACAGUACCUGGAGAAUAAGCUCCGGCUAACUCCGUGCCAGCAGCCGCGGUAAU